rnacentral:rRNA from 1 species
GACGAACGCUGGCGGCGUGCUUAACACAUGCAAGUCGAACGGAAAGGCCCUGCUUUUGUGGGGUGCUCGAGUGGCGAACGGGUGAGUAACACGUGACUAACCUGCCCUUGACUUUGGGAUAACUUCAGGAAACUGGGGCUAAUACCGGAUAGGAGCUCCUGCUGCAUGGUGGGGGUUGGAAAGUUUCGGCGGUUGGGGAUGGACUCGCGGCUUAUCAGCUUGUUGGUGGGGUAGUGGCUUACCAAGGCUUUGACGGGUAGCCGGCCUGAGAGGGUGACCGGCCACAUUGGGACUGAGAUACGGCCCAGACUCCUACGGGAGGCAGCAGUGGGGAAUAUUGCACAAUGGGCGGAAGCCUGAUGCAGCAACGCCGCGUGCGGGAUGACGGCCUUCGGGUUGUAAACCGCUUUCGCCUGUGACGAAGCGUGAGUGACGGUAAUGGGUAAAGAAGCACCGGCUAACUACGUG